CUUUUUUUUUUCUUUUUCCUUUUCUUUUUUUUUUUUGAGACGGAGUCUCUCUUUGUUGCCAGGCUGGAGUGCAGUGGUACGAUCCUGGCUCACUGCAACCUCUGACUCCCCAGUUCAAGUGAUUCUCCUGCCUCAGCCACCUGAGUAGCUAGGAUUACAGGCAUGCGCCACCACGUCCAGCUGAUUUUUGUAUUUUUAGUAGACCCGGAGUUUCACCAUGUUGGCCAGGAUGGUCUCGAUCUCCUUAAAUCGUGAUUGGUCCGCCUCGGCCUCCCAAAGUGCUGGGAUUACAGGUGUGAGCCACCGCUCCCGGCCUACAUUUUCAAACAGCAAUAGCAUUCGCCUCCUCUGUCAGUUUAACCCACAUCACAACUCCCACUUUUGGCACCUAAACAGUUAAUUUCCCAGUUUAUGGGCCUUCAAAGUCCUGCUCUAGUCUCUGGAGGAACUUUCGCCUACAGAGGAAGGUGUAAGGGAAACUAGUUCAUGGAUUUAGGUAGAAACAUUUGCGGUGUAGCUUUCACAUAAAGAGGAAUGAGAAAAAAAAACUGAUUCAUGGAUUUAGAUGGAAACAUUGUAGUAUGAACCCGACAGAGGGUCUAGCACCGCCAUCUGGUGGUGAGAAUUAGAACUGCAGCACUUUCUGCAAUGUGCCCUGGCCAGAAAGCUCUACCUUCCCAUAGGACCCACUUCUAACCCUAGAAUGGGAGAACUGAUGGAGGUGUCAAGCCACUGUGGUCCCACAGCUGCAUGCAGGAACAGGGGAUAGGAAGAGAGCUACCUACAGGUUACUAAACCAUUCCCUUGUGAAACAGCACCAGGUUUAUCUCUACUCUGUGCUAUCAUUUUCUAGGUUUUAAGUAGAAGAUACGUGAGUACCCAGUGGGCUGUCCAGGCUGUCUCUGCUACAAGUCUGUGAUGUCUCCGUCCAGUGGCAGAGCUGGAAGGCAGAUGCUGUCGGGGCUGCAUCUGCUUUGUUCACCAGCAUAGGCCUAAAACCAUGGAGGAGGUGCUUCGGCUUAGAUCCGCACUUGGCCUGUGUGUGCAAGAGGCUCUCAGGCACCUUUGGUUGGUUUCCAACCAAACCUCCUGAUGAUUCUUUCAGGUUCUCCGAUCCAGGUAGAUUCACUUCUGUAGAUUUAUUUAUUUACUUAUUUAUUUUUGAGACAGGGUCUGGCUCUGUCUCCCAGGCUGGAGUACAGUGAUGAAAUCUCGGCUCACUGCAGCCUUGACCUCAACUUCAAGUGAUUCUCCAACCUCAGCCUCCCAGUAUCAGGGACCACAGGUGUGCACCAUCACACCUGGCUAAUUUUUGUACUUUUUGUAGAGACGGGGUCUCACCAUGUUAUCCAGCUGGUCUCAAACUCCUAGGCUCAAGCAAUCCACCAACUUUGGCCUCUGAAGUGCUGGGAUUCCAGGUGUGAACCACCACGCCCAGACCCUGACUUCUGUAGAAGUUUGUAUUGUUUACAUCUACUGUAUGCAAUGUACAAGAUGCAGUCAGGUGUCUGGAUGCACCGGGGGUUCUGGCAUCUUAUAGACUUGGGUUUGAACCCCAACUGAGCCAUUGACUGGCUGGGUGACUUUGGGUGAGUUCCUAGACCUCUCUGAUCCUUAAGAUGGUAACAGUAUCACCAGUGAAGUUGGUGCACACAGCAGGGCCCACACUGACAUCUCACAGCACCCAGCAGGUCACUGUGGGCAUGAUACGAUGAUGGUUCACUGUGCCAGCCCUGAAGGAGUUCAAGUCCAGAGAGGAGAAGGUGGUGGGCCCAGACAGAGAUUCUGAGUCGCUACUGAGACUGGGUGAGGGUAGUGGGUGCAUGGGAGGACAUACCGCCUGGCAGCCCAGGGCUGGAGUCCACACUCAGGAUGGGGCAGCCUGGUCUGCCUCUCCUGCAGGAGGCUUCCAGGCAGGCUUGUCCCUCAAGAAUGCACGAAUCAAGUCCUCUCAGGACCAAUC
ensembl:lncRNA